GGGCCGGUAGUUCAGUGGUGGAAUGUCCGCUUUGCAAGCGGAAGGUCGAGGGUUCGAAUCCCUCCCGGUCCA
rnacentral:tRNA from 1 species